CACGGGUGAGUAUGCCUAUGAAUCUGCCUGGGAAAGGGGGACACGUUUCCAAAGGAACGCUAAUACCGCAUACGUCCUACGGGAGAAAGUGGGGGAUCUUCUGACCUCUUGCUAUCAGAUGAGCCUAGGUCGGAUUAUCUAUUUGGGGAGGUAAUGGGUCACCAAGGGGACAAUCCGCAACUGGGCUGAGAGGAUGAUCACUCUCACUGGAACUGAGACACGGUCCCCACUCCUACGGGAGGCGGCAGUGGGGAAUAUUGGACAAUGGGCGAAAGCCUGAUCCCCCCAUGCCGCGUGUGUGAAAAAAGUCUUCUGAUUGUGAAGCACUUUAAAUUGGGAGGAAAGGGAGUUAAUUAAUACCUUGCUGUUUUUACGUUACCGACACAAAAAGCACCGGCUAACUCUGUGCCAGCACCCGCGGUAAUACAGAGGGGGCAAGCGUUUAUCGCAAUUUCUGGGCGUAAAGCGCGCGUAUGUGGUUCGUUAAGUUGUAUGUGAAAGCCCCGGGCUCAACCUGGGAACUGCGUCCUCAACUGUGGAGAUAUAGUACGGUAGAGAGUGGUGUGAAUUCCUGUGUAUCGCUGAGAUGCGUAGAUAUAGGAGAGAGCACCAGUGUCGAAGGCGACAACAUGUGCUGAUACUGACACUGUGG
rnacentral:rRNA from 1 species